CCCUCUAGUGUUCACUGCACAUGAAGUUUUUCUGCCCAGAAAUAAGGCAAGACUGUCUGGAUGUGUUUCAAUUUCCUUUGGAAGGACAAAGCUUAGAGUAAAGAUUUUUAGGUGUCUAACGGCACAAAGCAGCAUAAAGCAGUCUGUGGCAAAUUCCACUGGGACGUCCCAUUCGCCACAAGGACUGAAAUGGCCCACUUGGAAAGCAGCAUGUGAGGCUUUGAGCCUUUUUUCCCCCUGCCACUCUCCAGAGAACAUUAAAUCGUACUUUUCAUUCCUGUCACCAUAGGGGGAACCCUCUUAAUGAUGACAGAGAAAGAAAAAUUCCAUCACACUGUCUUAUGAUACCAUUCUGCUGUCAAGCAAGCGUUUCCCUGGUCAGAGAAUCAAACAUGGCUUCCAGCAGGUGGAUGUCGCUGAAGGUCAUAGGCAGCAGAAUGCAGGGUUACACACGAGGAAGCACGUGUUCCCACAGCAAAUUAAGUCACCUGUGAAGCAUUCUCAUUUCCCGGCUACUAAAUUUAUGACUUCUUUGAAGGGUCAUAACUGAUUCUGUCCAUAUACACUUUAGUGAAAGUAUUUGAAAGUCUUGAGAAGCAGGCUUGCCCCAUUUAAAAACAGUGACAGAUGCACAUGUCUAAUGGAAAUGAGUGGGUUUUAAACUGUGUUUAUCUGAUUCUCUUAUUACUUAUUAAGGCAAUAGAAUCUUGAGUACUUAGAUAUCUUUAAAGGCAGAACCUUUAUCGUUGAACAGCAGCAAUUUCAAAAGUAAACUUGGAAGAACAAGGACGAGCCACAUUUUUUUUUUUUUUAAAGAAUAGAAGACUAUUUUACACUUUACUUCUGAAGGCCUGAACUACAUCACAGUUCACUGGCAGUGUGCAUCCUGAUGACCUGGCUACUGUGCUUUCUAUAUAGCUACAGCUAGACAUUUCAUUGAAAAUUGAAAACAAAACUUUUUUUGUAAAAUAAGAAAU
rnacentral:lncRNA from 1 species